GUGCAGCGGUUUAGCUAGGAGCACAGAGCUAACUGUCGAGAAGAAAAGUGGAAUCAGAAUUGAUUGAAUGAACCCAAUAAAAAUACUUACCCGGUCGAUGAUCCACUGGAAUCACUGCUUAGUGAGCAAGAAUUGACAUUUGAAUGAUUGACACACCCGUAAGAGGGUGGAGGACUCCUCUUCAGUGGAGACAAGAUGGCGAGCCAAAUUCAUGGAUCUCCAUUCUAGUACCUUCGUCGUAAUUACAAGUGGACCCGUACUGUUCCCUUUCAACAUGGCUGUCACUGCGAGCACACCAGAGUCCAGUUGGUUGACAGAGCUGGACAUUUGGACAUAUGGACAUUUUUUAUUUUUUUUAUGCACACCAUGUAAGGUACUACAUAACUUUAUCAUUAUCAUCACUAUCAGCUGCAGCAUCUUGUGGUUACAUCAUCACAAUAUGGACUGUAGGUAUUUUUUUUUCUUCUCAGUGUUUAAAGUGUAGUGUUGCUCUACAUGGUGUGGAGGUGCGAUGUCAUGAGGCUGGUGUGUUUUGUAAGAUUUAUAUAACUAUCUACAGCGCCCGCCAGUGUAUUGAAACGGCGAGGUCAAUUCCUUUUAUUUUUGAUGCGGCCAGAAAACAUACGGGUUUGACACAGAAUGAUGAAUAUGAGACGAGAAAGCAAUAUUUGAAAACAAGCAAUUAUGAAUCUUGGAAGAGGAUGGAAAAUCAGUCACAAUCUGAUAGGUUAAUGUUCAUUGAAGUUAUCAUAUAUUUGACUGUGAACACAUUUAAAUGUUGUAUAUAUGAGCCCUGUAUCCUGCUGACCUUCGGAUGAGUGUCCGUGUGGAAUAGAAGACUUCAAGACACCCAAGAUUGUGAAGAGGAAACGGAAAACAUCUGACAACAGCGGCACACAGAGGCACAACGAAGUCCACCAAUUGUAUUCUUGUCAUCCAUCUAAAUGCCAUCAACUGUUAGGUUGUGUAAGCUUGAUCACAUCACAUUGCAACAGCCACUUCCCUGUCCUUUAGGGCUGCAUUGUGAACUUUGUAACUUAGGGAAGACCCCACGAAAAUAAAAAGGGAGGCAACGGAGAGUGUAAUCAGAGCGGUUGGAGAUUGUAUGCCAAGUACAUCUCUUCCGUUUCUCCUCACGAGUCUGA